rnacentral:rRNA from 1 species
CCUACGGGAGGCAGCAGUGGGGAAUAUUGCACAAUGGGGGAAACCCUGAUGCAGCAAUGCCGCGUGAGUGAGGAAGUAUUUCGGUAUGUAAAGCUCUAUCAGCAGGGAAUAGAGAAGAAGGUACCUGAAAAAGAAGCACCGGCUUACUACGUGCCAGCAGCCGCGGUAAUACGUAGGGGGCAAGCGUUGACCGGAUGUACGGGGUGUAAAGGGAGCGUAGACGGGAAGGGAAGUCAGAAGUGAAAGCCCAAGGCACAACCAUGGGACUGCAUUUGAAACUGGCAGUCUUGAGUACAGUUGAGGUAGGCGGAAUUCGUGGUGUAGCGGUGAAAUGCUUAGAGAUCACGAAGAACUCCGAUUGCGAAGGCAGGUUCCUGGACAUUAACUGACGCUGAGGCGCGAAGGCGAGGGGAGCGAAAGGGAUUAGAUACCCCAGUAGUC